rnacentral:misc_RNA from 1 species
GUUCACAUAUGUAGUGUCCUGUCAGAUCUAUGGUGCUCAGAAGAAGUCCAGUGAACAGCGAGACCGUAGUUGUUAUGUCAAUAUUCUGAAUCUCAUGUUGACGUAUCCAUCUUUACGGGUUGCUUACAUAGAUGAGCGGGAUGAAGCUAUUAAUGGGAAGUCCGAGAAGGUUUACUACUCUGUGCUGGUGAAGGGAGGUGAUAAAUUGGAUGAGGAAAUAUACCGUAUCAAGCUUCCUGGCCCGCCUAAAAUUGGGGAAG